ACUCCUACGGGAGGCAGCAGUCGGGAAUAUUGCGCAAUGGAGGAAACUCUGACGCAGUGACGCCGCGUGCAGGAAGAAGGUUUUCGGAUUGUAAACUGCUUUAGACAGGGAAGAAAAAAGACAGUACCUGUAGAAUAAGCUCCGGCUAACUACGUGCCAGCAGCCGCGGUAAC
rnacentral:rRNA from 1 species